AAUCCCCUCCCCACAUCGGGAACCGCCGCCGACGCCGCAGGAGGAGACGCAUCGAGGUUAGCACGCGAAGAAGCGACCAUGAGGGCCAAGUGGAAGAAGAAGCGCAUGAGGAGGCUCAAGAGGAAGCGCAGAAAGAUGAGGCAGAGAUCCAAGUAGGCAGAUCGAGAUGGAUUGUGGACCUGAUGACAUGCGUGGGUACAUACAUUUCUUCGGAUGCGUUGGUGUGCCUGUGGAGAGAUGUCAACCUGCCAUGGUGUCACGGUCCGCCAUCAGUUGAACGUCUUGCCUGCACUUCAGUAGGCCACUUUUCAUGGUUCUAGUUGUAUUUGAAUCCAGCGUUUGCCACUAAGAUAAAUCAGACAGUCGUUUUGUGAACCUAUUAUGAUGGAGCUUUAUUUGCUGAUAAUAUCUAGCUACCUAUUUGAGCU